GACGAACGCUGGCGGCGUGCCUAAUACAUGCAAGUCGAACGCUUCUUUCCUCCCGAGUGCUUGCACUCAAUUGGAAAGAGGAGUGGCGGACGGGUGAGUAACACGUGGGUAACCUGCCCAUUAGAGGGGGAUAACACUUGGAAACAGGUGCUAAUACCGCAUAAUUCUUCGGACCGCAUGGUCUGAAGAUGAAAGACGCUUUCGGGUGUCACUAAUGGAUGGACCCGCGCUGCAUUAGUUAGUUGGUGAGGUAAUGGCUCACCAAGACCGUGAUGCAUAGCCGACCUGAGAGGGUGAUCGGCCACACUGGGACUGAGACACGGCCCAGACUCCUACGGGAGGCAGCAGUAGGGAAUCUUCGGCAAUGGACGAAAGUCUGACCGAGCAACGCCGCGUGAGUGAAGAAGGUUUUCGGAUCGUAAAACUCUGUUGUUAGAGAAGAACAAGGAUGAGAGUAACUGUUCAUCCCUUGACGGUAUCUAACCAGAAAGCCACGGCUAACUACGUGCCAGCCGCCGCCGUAACAC
rnacentral:rRNA from 1 species